rnacentral:pre_miRNA from 1 species
UUUGUAUUCUCUCCGUCCAACAAAUGAUGUCUUAAAUAUCUCAAAAUUUAAAUGUAUCUAAACAUAACUUAGUGCAUAUAUGCAUUCAAAUUAGUCAAAGUUGAGACAUUUUUUGUUGGACGGAGGAAGUAUAUU